AUUGAACGCUGGCGGCAGGCCUAACACAUGCAAGUCGAGCGGAUGCAGGGAGCUUGCUCCUGGAUUCAGCGGCGGACGGGUGAGUAAUGCCUAGGGAUCUGCCUGGUAGUGGGGGAUAACGUCCGGAAACGGGCGCUAAUACCGCAUACGUCCUGAGGGAGAAAGUGGGGGAGCUUCGGACCUCUCGCUAUCAGAUGAGCCUAGGUCGGAUUAGCUAGUUGGUGGGGUAGAGGCCUACCAAGGCGACGAUCCGUAACUGGUCUGAGAGGAUGAUCAGGCACCCUGGAACUGAGACACGGUCCAGACUCCUAGAGGAGGCCGCAGUGGGGAAUAUUGGACAAUGGGCCAAAGCCUGAUCCAGCCAUGCCGCGUGUGUGAAGAAGGUCUUCGGAUUGUAAAGCACUUUAAGUUGGGAGGAAGGGCAGUAAGUUAAUACCUUGCUGUUUUGACGUUACCAACAGAAUAAGCACCGGCUAACUUCGUG
rnacentral:rRNA from 1 species